UACGUAGGGGGCGAGCGUUGUCCGGAAUCAUUGGGCGUAAAGCGCGUGUAGGCGGCCCGACAAGUCUGGUGUGAAAUCUUGGGGCUCAACCCCAAGCGGUCACUGGAUACUGUCGGGCUUGAGUACGGAAGAGGAGAGUGGAAUUCCUGGUGUAGCGGUGGAAUGCGCAGAUAUCAGGAGGAACACCUAUGGCGAAGGCAGCUCUCUGGGACGUCACUGACACUGAGGCGCGAAAGCGUGGGGAGCGAACAGG
rnacentral:rRNA from 1 species